UUCAGUCGUGGACUGUAGUACACUGUUAUUUUACAGGCAGAAGCACUGUGGGUGUAUGGUCGGACUUUCAGUUGUGGGUUUUCCAGGUACAAGCACUGAGGGUGGUCAGACUUUCAGUCGUGGGCUGUACGUAGCACCCAAUGUUAUUUUCCAGGUACAAGUACUGUUGGUGGCCAGACUUUCAGUCUACACACUAUUUAGUACAUGUACAUCAUUUACCGGUAUAUAAAGAAGCAGUAAACUUUACUUCACACCGUGAGAUUUUCAAUUGCUAAUCCUGUAAGAAGAUUGAAGAUGAAAGCUAUCAUUGGAGCACUUAUUCUACUCUACUGCUGCUCAGCAACACUGACUGCACCAAUAUCCAAAGUGUUAUUCAUUGAGCCUAAAACAAUCAACUACUAUGCUUCAUUUGUACGCUCCACGAUGACUAUUACAGGAACCAAUACCAUCAUGCACUUCCCCACUGGUGGGACUACCUCUGAGGAGUUGAUUCGAGUUCCCCUCGGUAAACUAGACCCCCACGUGGUAAUAAGAGUCACAGUUGCAAUGAAACCUCAUUCUCAAGGAGUAGAAAGUGACCCACACAUUGGACUUACCGACGGAGUGGCUGAAAAUCAUAUUAGACUUGGUGAUGGAAAUGGGGUCUGUUACCUUAACGGUGCCUCUUCUAAUACGGCCACCCUACCUUCAGGAUCGAAACAGCACUACGAGUACAUCUUAAUAUUCGAGCCAUUUCAAAACUACGGUGCAUGCUCUCACCUCGGGGGUCAUGUGACACCAGGAUACUUUAAUACCCGUAUUGAUGCAAGCAAAGGAUUGGAUUUUAUAGUGAAGAGAGAAAACACUGGAGAGCAGUAUAACUUCUACUACUUUCUCAUUGAGAUUCUCUAACUAUAUACAGCAGAACAUUUGCUAACACCCUUAGUAGCAACUGCUAGAAUUACUUAAGUAGAACAGACAUAAAUACGUAUUUAGUAUUACUAUAUUUAUAAUUAUAUACAUGUAUAUACAGUGUAUGCAUGCUGCCAUAAUCUUUUCUCAAAUAAAUUACAAAACAGUAACUACUGAA